GGGCAGUUUCAGCAGCCAACAAAGCAGCCAAUGCAGCUAGAGUAGCUGCAGUGAAAGCUGUGCAAAAGCAGAUGCAUCAUCAUCGCAGGAAUAGUGAUGACCUUGCAAUGUUCAACUGAUGGACUUGUUUCAAUUCAAGCCAUAAAGUGUUCAUCCUUUUUCACAGACAGCUGCAAAGGGGGAGUAGUCCUUAAAUUAUUGUUCUCCUUUCAAUCACUUAUGUGAUUUCCCUAUCAUGCCCCAUGCGGAAGCUAGCUGUAUUGUCUAUUGGAUUUUUGCCUUGUCUAAGUUGUG
rnacentral:misc_RNA from 1 species